AGAAUCAACGCUGGCGGCGUGCCUAACACAUGCAAGUCGAACGAGAAAGGGUAGCAAUACCUGAGUAAAGUGGCGCACGGGUGAGUAACACGUGACUAACCUACCCUGGAGUGGGGGAUAACUGAGGGAAACCUUAGCUAAUACCGCAUAAUACCUACGGGUCAAAGGAGCAAUUCGCUUCAGGAGGGGGUCGCGGCCGAUUAGUUAGUUGGCGGGGUAAUGGCCCACCAAGACGAUGAUCGGUAUCCGGCCUGAGAGGGCGCACGGACACACUGGAACUGAAACACGGUCCAGACUCCUACGGGAGGCAGCAGUGGGGAAUUUUGCGCAAUGGGGGAAACCUGACGCAGCAACGCCGCGUGGAGGAUGAAGUCCUUCGGGACGUAAACUCCUUUCGAUCGGGACGAUUAUGACGGUACCGGAAGAAGAAGCCCCGGCUAACUUCGCGCCAGCAGCCGC
rnacentral:rRNA from 1 species